rnacentral:lncRNA from 1 species
GGGAAAAGCAUCCUUUCCUUUUCUGUUGAUAGUGUUCUAUUCUGCACACUCCACUAGAAGUGAAAACUGAUUUUCGCUGUUGUUUUCAUUGUUGUUUCACUUAUACAUUUUGCUCUGGCAGUUUCCUCAGGCGUAGAGUAAAGGUUUGGUUUGGCUUGUUUCUUUGGUUUCAUUGUUUCUUUUUGUUGUUAUUGUUUUUGUCUUGUUUGCUUGUUUUCUUUGUUUUAAGUGUGUGGCAUUUGGAGCAUGUCUCUUGAGCUUAAUUUUGCUAAAAGCUUAUUGGCCAAAUCAGCCUAAAAAGUCUUCCUUUCAGAUUAAAGAGUUGUGUAUGAAAACAUUGUAGGUAAAAUUCCAACCUGGUUUUCCAGCUGCUAUAAGUAUUUCAUUUAUGCUUUUCUAUAGAAAAAUAGCUCUAUUACUCAUUUUAGGUGGAAUAUCAGAAGCUAAGGUGGAACAUUGUGAAGAAGACAGCUGUGGACAAGACUCGAGUCAAUGAUGAGAAAUGAAAUUCUCUGUAGGAUCACAGAAAAUAAGGCUGGAGGAGUUGAGAGAUGCUAUAAGUCAUCCUUUCCAUCCCCAAUGUAGAUCAGCUAAAUCCUGGGCCAUUCCUCAUGGUUGCCUCAACGUUCCUGAAAACAAGACAAUUUCCACUGUGCAUAAAAUAGCCUGAGUCAGGAGCAUCAGAUCAGAGAUCACCUUUUUGCACCCAGCUGCUGAAGCUGUCAUCGUACUCUGGGUACAUUUAUUUAACCAAAGUAACAGGGCAGUGAUCGCUGCAGAGAACUGGAACUUCCUUUCUUCAUUCAAAGAACUAAAGUUGCUAUUGUUGUAAAAAUAUCGAACUAAUUCUUUUCCACCAAAGGAACACUAGGUAAGAUAAAUAAUGUUAUUUCUCCUUUUUCAGAAGGGUCUAAUCCAAAGUAGUUCAAUAAAUUUGUUAAGUGGCUAUGACUUCA